rnacentral:miRNA from 1 species
GCUGACACAUCCCGGCCAAUUUCCAGCAGACCCUCCCUCCCAGACCCUCCUACUUCCUGGACAGCAUCCAAACUGCCUUCAACAUGGAUGUCCAGGAUGUCCAGGAAGUAGGAGGGUCUGGGAGGGAGGGUCUGCUGGAGAUUGGCCGGGAUGUGUCAU